ACAGAAGUGGCCUAGAAGCAGCUUAACUGAAUGGUUAAUGUGGCACACUCCCUGCAAUCAAUCAAAUAAAGCUGAGAGACAAAGAAAGAGAGGACUACAUAACAAAGGCAUUUAUCAGAGAAACAGAUGUAAUGUCAAGAAAAUUGGUAUCCGCAAGAUUAUCUUUUUUCUGAUUUACAACAUUAUCGAUAUCCAUAUAAAAUUACUUUAUUUGUAUUUGGACAGCUCAAUAUUUAUUCAGUUUGUGCUUUAAAGUAAGUAUUUGGUCCUUUUUUCCAACUGCCUCUGGGUGUAGGAGCAGAAAAAUAAUGAAACAUUAAAAGGAAACUAGCUUUGCAAAUUUAUUGAAAUCAAAAACAGCAAAGGAGAUUAGCUGAGAGUACUACAAGGAGGCAGUGAUGCUCUGGCCUGUUAGGACAUUGAGGCAUCAACCAGUGUGCAAUUAAAAAAUAAAACCUGUGAAGAGGCAGUGCGGGAGAAUAAAAGCCGAUUAAAGUGCUCCUAAGAGUUAAGGCUCUUGCCAGCAGAGCCAUCUGUCAAGAGAUUACGAAGAAGAAAAUUUCUGCAGGAAUUUUCCCCUGGGACCAGAUGAAGUGCCAAGAAAAGGUGUGUGGCAUCAGGAGUGAGGACAAACUCUGAGAGUCUUCCCAGUGCUGAUCACAGACCGAGAGGGAACCAUCAACCCACUGGGUCUCAGAGAAGAGGAAGAGAAGAGAGGGAAGUCUCUGCAUUGCUUUGGAUCAGAGAAACAAGGUCACAUUAGAAAGAGUUCAUGGAAUCAAAUCUUUAAAGAAACCAGCUAAACUCACUUUGAAUCAAGAGGAGAUUUAUUACAAGGAGAUAUGGAAUCCGAAGAAAGAGAACAUACCAAACCUCACGAAGGGAUGCUCCAAGAGAUCAUGGAACUUAUCUCUUUAUCUCUGUGGCCAUGACUACCAAUUCAGCACUUGGCAUAUGGAAGAUCAACAAAUGCAGGGUAAAUUAAGGACUGAACCAAGAGCAGAAAUGUCUUUUUCUGGAAACCCAGAAUGUGAACAAUUUCUAUGUCCCAUCUCUUUGCUUUUGCAUUCAUAUUCUUUCUGUUCAUUUGACAGAGAGUAUGGCUGUUACCAUCCUGGAGUUUGGAUAUUACAACCCAGUUACACUUCUUAACGCUGUGUGAUUGCAACUGGCUCAAAGUGGUUGCCCAGCCAUAAGAGUUGGCUUAGCCCUCAAGGCCAGGAGUGAGAUUAUGCGGAAAAAUGACUGCUGGGGGCAUACCGGGAGAGAGCAGCUCUGAGGAUGAUGUUUACUGCAGACUUGGCAAAAGACUCAAGAAGUGUUUAUUCCAAGCUAAGAAUGGAUCCUGCACCUCCAGGGCCUUUAGAUAUGUAUAUAAAUAUAUAGAAAUGUAUAUCGUUUCUCAGCGUUCUACAUUUGAGCCAUCUCAUUCUACUCAUUCUCCUCACAAAUGUGCUACUCACACCCGUGUUUUCAAAUAACCUCUUAGAAGUUGAUGAUUCUCAAAUCUCUAUUUUCAGCAUAGAGCUCUCUCCUGAGCUCCAGAUUCAUAUAGCUUCUUACUUAAUUUUCCAUGCAUGUCUCUUAGACACUCCACUUUUGAUAAGCUCAAAAAGGAACUCAUCUUCCCGCUAAAAUUUGCAUCUCCUCCAGUAUUGUUUAGUGUGUAAAAAUGCAUACAUUUUUUGAAGACAUGGUAAAGGCUGUGGGGAAUGUUGGCAAGUCACUCUCCUUAGAGGCAAAAAUAUAAGCAUACAAAAAGGAUGUCUUGGAAUUUGGAGCAGAAAAUUAAAAUAGGAAAACUGCUAACAAUAUCAAACAUUAAUAAAAUGUGUGCCCACAUAUAGUCCGAAAAUAAU
rnacentral:lncRNA from 1 species